rnacentral:rRNA from 1 species
GGAAUGCCUAGGUAGUAAGAGCCGAUGAAGGACGUGGUAAGCUGCGAUAAGCUCAGGGUAGUUGCAAUCGAACGUUGAUCCUGAGAUUUCCGAAUGGAGCAAUCCGCUAAGUUGAAGACUUAGCACGAAAGAGGGUACCGCGUGAACUGAAACAUCUAAGUAACGCGAGUAAAAGAAAGUAAAAACGAUUCCCCAAGUAGCGGCGAGCGAACGGGGAUGAGCCCAAACCGCAUAAAUGCCAAGGGUGCAGCCGUUGUUUUUUCGGGG